AGCAAUCUCGCUUCAGUGAAGUGCAUAUCUUGACUUAACAGUAUGUCAGGGGUCAUAAUCCAGACUGAGGGAUUUGAGUUGGUCAGCAGACUUGGAUGGCUGCAGCUAUUGCGUACCAGAUGUCGUCUUGCCAAGUUGGUAGCUGGCCCAAUUCAGCCCUUUGCCACAGGCCCUUUCCCACUAGACAGCAGGAACCAUUGCAUUAGCUGUAAUUGGAGCUACAAGGAACUGUGCAACAGUAUGAAUAAAUCAGUAAAAACAACUCCAAGAGAGGAUAUACCAAUCCACUUUCUAUGGAUUUUAGUGUAUUGUUAAGGUGAAGAAGUCUUGCGGAUCAUGUAAGACAGAAAUGUUUGUGGAUUAGUCAUGUACUUAGGAAUCAAGAGCUGUCUUUUCCCAGCUGGCAAGUGUGAAGAAUCAGACCCUCCUGUCAACUUUCUCCAGCCUAGGCAUCACCAGAACGGCAGAACUGCUCUGCGCUGGGUGGAAUCCUAUCUCUCAGACAGAUCCUUUAAGCCUGACUAUCCAUCUGUCUGACAUCUCGGACUCGAUGAGGGAACACCACCUUAAGCUCUACUUGGCAAAAUCUGAGCUUCUUGUCAACCCAGCCGGCUCCAUCAAACCCCUCCAGAUGAUUCAGAAUGCAGCAGCAGCAGGUCUCGUCUUCAACCAGCCCAAACGGACCUAUGUCACACCUCUCUUCAUCUCCCUCCAUAGGCUUCCUGUAGCCACCCAUAUCAAAUUCAAGGCCUUGAUGCUCACAUACAAGACCUUGUCUGGAACAUCACCCGUCUACUUCAACCCUCUCCUAAAGGCUUACAUUCCCUCAUGCAAUCUGCGAUCGAUUAAUGACCGACGCUUAGUAGUGCUUACUCAGCGUGGCUCAAGGUCCCUUUCCAGAACCUUCACACUAACUGUCCCUCAGUGGUGAAAUUAACUUCUAACCUCAAUCCGGACAGCAGAAUCUGUUGCUAUCUUCAAAAAAACAGCUAAAGACUCACCUCUUCUGUGAACACUUAACCAACCCCUAAAAUGCCAACCCCCACAUUAUCCUUUUAAAAAAACAACAAAAAAAAACUUACUCUGGCUCUUACACCUCUACUCUGUGCACUUUGCUUUUCUAGAACUCAAUUAUAAACCUUGUAUGGUAGCACUACUUGUAUUGUUCUCUGCUUGAUAUAUUGCUUUGCUUGUAUUUCCUCAUUUGUAAUUCACUUUGGAUAAAAGCGUCUGCUAAAUGAAUAAAUGUAAAUGUAAAUGUAAUUGUGCUGUCACAUGUGAUAUGUGUGAAGAGAUUCCAUUGUCACAGCUCAGAGUUAAUCAUUUGAACGUGACCUUAUCAUGAAGGGAAAUUCAGGACAGUGCAAUCAAAGCCAGUCUGUUUGUUUACAGGGAUAUUGUUCAUUUGCAGCUCCACAAAGAGGCACUUGUGAGUCUCCAAACACAUGACACAUAAUAAGUAUGUCAGUAACUCUCUGAGCUAACACCGAUAACACAUACCAGGUCAUGUUCCCCAUUGCAAACUCACUCACUUGCUGACUGUUUGUCAUUGACCCCUGCUGAUCUAAGUGUGUCCAGGGAACAGACCUCUGGAGCCUGUGCGUGGUCAAGGCUGUGUCAGAGAGCACUUUGCUUACACCCAACUGGAGGGAAAAUGCAUUGGUGCUGACAUUGUUUUGACAGAUGAGUUUCCUCCAGCCAUAAAGCCAACAGCCUUUAAAAAUGAGCCUGCAUUAUGAGGUGUUCUAUUAAAGUGAGCGUUUCAUGCUACCCACUGUGGCUUCCUACUGUUGCUUUGCCAUUAAGUUAAAUAAAGCACAGUAGCAUGAAAUUGCCCCAUAAAGCGUGUUGGCUUAGAGAUCUAGAAAGUGACAACAUUGUGUCUUUAAUGUGUUCUGUCAUCCCACAGAAGACCUUACAUUCACUCCACUGGUAACUGUGUAGAGAUUUUCAAUAGAUCAAGAGACACGAUGUAUGGUAUAUCCAUUUUUAUUGCUGAGGAAACCAUAAUAUUUUUAAUGUUGCAAAGCAAUUAUAGUAAUUAAGAACAAGCAAUACAACCCUUGGCUCUCUGCAAGGCAGAUUAAUUAACCACAAACAUAAAAAACAAUAAAGAUGGGUUGACGAUAAAGAUGUCAUUUAAAUGUCCAUAAAAGGCCAUUUCUUGGAGAGAAAAAAUUUAAUGGUAGACUCAAGUGCCCAAAGGGUAUGAUGUUGGCAAAAUUAAAGUUGUAUCUAGGCUUCAAAUUUAUAGACACUGCUUUAGACAGAGAGGUAACAGAACAGCAUCUUGGGAAACAAUUUCUGAACUGUUAAAUAGACCACAAGUCAUCAGUUAGAUUUGAACCCACCCCCAUACCCACCCAACCCAACCCAAACAGAUCAAAACACUCACACUCUCUCCACCCCCCCAAUUCAUACUCUUCACUCUUGGAUAUUCCUAACCAAGACUGCUUAUCACCUUAUCACACACACAUGCUAACCAUGAUAAUAGUUUAAAACAGCAAUGAUUUUCUCUAACAGUUAUAUUCUAGCACAUAAUGGAUGGAAGAUUAUUGCAUAACAUUGAUUUAAAUGUUUAAUUCUUAAAACAAUAUUUUCAUAGACUGUAUCACAGGUAUAACAUUAUUGUGCUUUACAACCUUACUUACUACAUAUGCACUACAUGAUAUUCAGUCACAAUAAACGUGUAACAAAUGUAACAUGGCAAAUGUACAUCUUUGUCUUUACA
ensembl:lncRNA